rnacentral:lncRNA from 1 species
GUAACUGUCGUGCCUCCCCGCUCACAACCGUCGUCCAGAUCUGCAUCGCCGAGCCGUCCAGGUCCUCGCUGCCGCUCGUGCUUCACCCUUGCAGUUCGCAGUAACCCAGAUCCGUCGCUGCAACCGUCGGCCGGUUCGUGAAGCCCUGCCGCGCAACCUCUGUUUCCAGCCGCCGCCCAUUUCGUUCUCCUCUGUUUUCUGCACUGCCACGCGACUCUCCGACCGCGUCUGUCUUCACCUCCGUGAAGCCGUCGAUGCAUACAUCUUGUGAAGCCCGGUCGCCGCGUCAGAUCGUCGAUCGAUUUUGAGGCAGCCGCCACGUCUCCUUUGGCCGACCGCUGACCGACCCACACUUAGGAUUUUUGCUGCGAGUUCGACAGUCGUGCGUUGAGGUGUUGGGAGUAACGUUGGGCUCCCUUAAAUUCACAACCAAUAUAUGAAUUGUUGAGGGUUCAGUUCGCCAAUACUUCGGUGAGUUGGAACUUACGUUGAGGAAAGUAAGUGAGAUAUGUAUCUUGAAAGUAAUCGAAUUUUUGUAUUGUAUUGCUUAGGAUUGUUUCGAGGACGUUAGUUGAUUAAGGAGCUUCC